CCUCUUCCACAAAGCCCUCCUUGAUUGCUGGGCCCUGGUUGAACUUCUUAUUAGUAACACCCAGGUUAGUCCUACUUAAUUCUUGCCUCCAGCCAAAGUGGACUUAGAACCUCCUUGCAUGCCUGGUAAAGUCAAGGUUUUCAGCCAGGGCCUGUGUAUAAAGCAGAAGCAACACAGUGUCUGGUUUGAAGCUUAGCACUUUGGUUCAGACAGUUGUGGGUUACAAUCCCUUCUACGCAUGUUGCCUGUGGAAAUCCUUUGGUUCUCUGUGCUUGGAGCUCGCCUGUAAUGGGACAAAGCCACCUCCCCUAGAUUGUUGUUCUGAGGAUUGAAUCAGGUGAUUCUGAGAGGCAUUUAUGAGUCUUGCCUGAGUAAUAAUCCACGAAAAGUGGGCGUCAUUGCUGAAGCUCAGGGAAGAAAUACGAAAUUUGAUUAUAUCCUUAUUCAUGGCAUUGGGUCACCACCUCAGCAGUUUUUAUGAAAGUAGCAUCUGACCUGGCAAAGGCUGUGUCAUCUUAUUAUCUCAGAAAGACAAAUUUACGGGGUCAGAUGAUGGAUGGCCAGGUUUCAGCUUGUAGAUUUCUCAGUGGGGUGGAAGGAAGGAGAGGAAAAGAGAGGCAGGAGAGAGAACACGCUUAAUUCUACUUCCCCCAGGGUGAUAUUUCCUUCUUCCCCUUCCAGAGUUCUCAAAAAGGCAUUCUGGGAAGUCCUGUAAAAUACAUGCUCAUACAAAAUCUCCUAAUUUCCCCAAAUUGUUGAGAAUUUAAAAACUCAGCUGGGGGUUUGCUGUUCUAGCCUGAGACACCAGGGUCACGUGUCCAUGCUUGCGGUCUUGAGACAGUACCAGACAUCUGGGAUGAAGUUGGGGAAAGAAGGUCUGGUGACCCUGCUGGCCUGCUCCUCUUGAAAGAUGCUUACUGGCUGCUGGCUCCAUCACUGGUGUGUCACAGGGCUUUAGGAUUUGGAAAAGCAGAGGGAUGUAAAGCAAGAUGGAAUGGUCAGAAUUUAGAGAACCAUGUGCUGAAGUGCCAUCUUUAGGGUGCCCAUAACAUGACCCUACAACAUUAGAGGUGCUGGAAUCACGGAAGAGGAAUCCAGACUCUGUAAUCUUCUUCCCCCUGGAAAAUCUGCUCCAGAACUGGGGGAUUGGAAGCUGUCAACUUGUGAGCCAUCUUCUGCUCUGUUCAAGAUGGUAGGGGCAUUCUCCACACGCCCCUCACUCUGAUUCUGCCUCACUUUUAUUUUAGAUUUUUUCACUGCCUCUUCUGGAAUGUGCUUUUUCAACCCUCCAAAUCUGUAGAGAAGAAAUAAGCAGAAACUGAAAUGGCUUUCUGGUGUUAAAUGCUCUCAGCUUAGUGGAAGAUCGAGCGUUGGGCUCGAGGCUGGACUUUUACGGAGAGCACUGCAAUAGUGCUAUGGCCUUGCCUUUCUUUCUCAUCACCCAGGUACAGUCCUGCUGUCCUCAGAGGAUGCCAGUCCCACACAGGGGGAUCCUCCUCCAUAGGAAAACCGAGGAACACCACAGGUUCGAUGUGUAAGGUGGCUAAGCACAUUCGAUCAUCGAGAUCUUUCCUCCCAAACCCUAAUGCUACCUCAAGAUGGGCUGCUGCCUGCUACCUUUUCAACAUCGAGUCCUUUAAGAUGCCAUCUGAGAGAGAGAUGGGAAGCGAGAGGCCAAGAAAAAUGAAAGGACAGGCAUCAGAGCUACAAACCAGAUGGAUGUGGUAGCACAGAAUACCAAAAACCUCCGCUUAAGACUCAGCUGGGGAAUUGAGUUGCCUUUUUUAAUGGCAAAGGAAAAGAAUCACUGAUAAGGAGAACCUUGAAUUUAGGAAGGGUGGGUGGGUUGGGUGAUCAGCUGGGCCUCUUCUGUGCGUGGCAGAGCACAUUUCAGAACUGUGUGUAUAUCCGUGGUCACUGUAAUUGAAGAAAAAAGAACAAGAAUUCAGAAAAUUAUAUCCUAUCCCCAAAAA